GAUGAACGCUGGCGGCGUGCCUAAUACAUGCAAGUCGAGCGAACAGACGAGGAGCUUGCUCCUCUGACGUUAGCGGCGGACGGGUGAGUAACACGUGGAUAACCUACCUAUAAGACUGGGAUAACUUCGGGAAACCGGAGCUAAUACCGGAUAAUAUAUUGAACCGCAUGGUUCAAUAGUGAAAGACGGUUUUGCUGUCACUUAUAGAUGGAUCCGCGCCGCAUUAGCUAGUUGGUAAGGUAACGGCUUACCAAGGCAACGAUGCGUAGCCGACCUGAGAGGGGGAUCGGCCACACUGGAACUGAGACACGGUCCAGACUCCUACGGGAGGCAGCAGUAGGGAAUCUUCCGCAAUGGGCGAAAGCCUGACGGAGCAACGCCGCGUGAGUGAUGAAGGUCUUCGGAGCGUAAAAAUCUGUUAUUAGGGAAGAACAAAUGUGUAAGUAAAUAUGCACGUCUUGACGGUACCUAAUCAGAAAGCCACGGCUAACUACGUG
rnacentral:rRNA from 1 species